UACGUAGGGUGCGAGCGUUGUCCGGAAUUAUUGGGCGUAGAGGGCUCGUAGGCGGCCAACUAAGUCGGAUGUGAAAUCCCCAGGCUUAACCUGGGAACUGCAUCCGAUACUGGAUGGCUUGAAUCCGGGAGAGGGAUGCAGAAUUCCAGGUGUAGCGGUGAAAUGCGUAGAUAUCUGGAGGAAUACCGGUGGCGAAGGCGGCAUCCUGGACCGGCAUUGACGCUGAUGAGCGAAAGCUAGGGGAGCAAACGGG
rnacentral:rRNA from 1 species